UACGGAGGAUGCGAGCGUUAUCCGGAUUUAUUGGGUUUAGAGGGUGCGUAGGCGGAGUGCCAAGUCAGCGGUAAAAAUUCGGGGCUCAACCCCGUCGUGCCGUUGAAACUGGCGCCCUUGAGUGGGCGAGAAGUAUGCGGAAUGCGUGGUGUAGCGGUGAAAUGCAUAGAUAUCACGCAGAACCCCGAUUGCGAAGGCAGCAUACCGGCGCCCGACUGACGCUGAAGCACGAAAGCGUGGGUAUCGAACAGG
rnacentral:rRNA from 1 species